CAGAGCUCAGUGGUGGCGCAGAAAGUGUUCACUUCUUCUGUUUCGGGCUGUACGCUGUGGUUCUGCGCCUCCAGGGCUUUGCUGCCUGGCGAGCGUCCUCCCUGUACCACAGGAUCCUUGCCCGACUACAAACCCGAGGCUUCUAUUAGGAUAGUCUGGAUUCGCCAUAGGGGUUUCUCCUAGCGCGGAUUGUGUGUUUGCGUUGGCGAUGCUCAUAGAAGAAAGGCGCAGAGCUGUACGAGGAGGCGGGAUGCACGGGUCAGAGCCCUCGGUGGCCUCCGCCCGCUGCUCUUGGCGCCGGUCCGCUCCUGGAGAUAGCGCGGCAGCCGCCUGGGAGGCGAAGCGCGUAAUCUCCGCGCUACCCACGCGGGGCCGCGGCGUGGUGGCCGCACUUUGGCUUUGGGCGCUGGAUGGACAGUGGGGUAAAGGGUUGGGGUUCCCCUAACGUGGAUUACUUGGUGCUUAUCAACUGGAUUUAGAAGACUCUCGACCUGGUCUCCAUCAUCCGUGGGUUGUCUUUCCAUCUCCCAGCCGCUCUUUCACCUGGAGGCACUUAGAACACAGGAUGUCAGCGCCAUCUUGUGACGGCGAAUGUGGGGGCGGCUCCCAACAGUCACCCAUCCAUUAGUGGCUCAUGUGUUCUUAAGACAAACUCAGCAGGCUGUACCUGUCCAGGCCAACCUGGUCUGAUAGAGGCACACGAAGCUAAUUUCAUGGGUGGACUUCGCAGACGUGAAGGUUAGAGAAAAUUACCUCAGCGCCUGCACACACCACAACCUUGGCAUUCCAACAGUCUUGCACAGAGCCUGGUGAAACCAGAGCUUCUGCCUGCAUGGAACAAGAGCAAGAGAAAGAGUUCACUGAAGGACAGCCUUGCAGAACAUGGGGAGAAUCAUCAGGCAGGUGACUCCAGGCCUGUGCACACAGGAGCUGCCUGGGUCACCGUCCCACCUGAGGGCUAUCUGUCUGUCCCACAAAGCAGACAGCACAAGAGGAAGUCUGUGGUGUCUGAGCCUCUGCGAGAGCAGCCAGCCUGCCAUUGGAUCCUCUCUUUCCUUGCUUUGGGGUCUGGGCAGUGGGAGAAAUAGAACCCAGGACUCGUACCCAUGAGCGGUCCGGUUCCUAAGAGACCCUGGAGAGGUCACAUGAAGAUUAGUGUAAUCAUGUCCCUCUCUUGGGCUGCGUUAUCAUAGGGUGCUCCUGCCCUGGGAACUGACCCAGUGUGUCACCUUCUCCCCAUCAGGGAAGACAGAGCCACCUAGGAGCAUCAGAUUUUAUCCCUGACAUGCCUAGGAAGUGCUCCGUGAAUAACCAUCCAAUGUAGGGCAAAGUCAAAGUCUGAACAUUUCCUUCCUCCUGGUUUAUUUUAUUAUGCAGGGAUCCACAAGACCAUUGAAGAGAGAGAACUGGCAUGGAAGGGAGCACCCCUUGUGGGGAGCACUCCUUGUGGGGAGCACCCCUUCUAGGGAGCACCUCUUCUAGGGAACAGGCAUCACAGUAGUGCUUGCUGUGUGAAGUCGCUUGGGUACAGUCCUUGCUCUCAUAACAUCAGAUUUUGGCCAUUUGCAUCUCCCACCCAGACCAUGGCAUUCUUAAAGUUGCCUUCCACUUGAACAGUUUAAUGAUGGGGAGGCGGGGGUAUCAUUCCUGAGGCUACACACCCAGGUUGCCAACUCCAGACAAAUGAGGAAAACAAGGGGGAGCUCUGGGUAUGUAGCUGAGUGCUAGAGUCCUUCCCCAGCAUGCACAAGGCCCUGGGUUCUAUCCCCAGCAUUGAAAAUAGAAAAGUCUCUAGGGAGCCGGAUGGAGAUGGGAGUUCUAGGCCAGCUCUAGUGUUUGAGCACUGCCCUGUGCAGACUCCAAGGUGUAGGCUCACAGAUAGUUCAGUGGGUAAAGGCACUUGUCUCCGGGCCUGCUUACCUGAGUUCUGUGCCCAGAGCCCACACGAUGGGCAGAGAGAAACAGCAGCUCCUGCAAGCUGCUCUCUGACCACCUCACACACCUCUCGCCUACGUGCACCCACCCCUCCCCAAAGCAUAGCAAUGUAUUCUCAAACCCCACGUCUACCUUGGACCUCAGACACGAUCCUACUUGGAAAUGGAGUCUGUGCCGAUGCAGAGAGUUAAGGAUCUUGAGAUGAGCUCAUCCUGAAUUUUGGGCGACUCCCCUCUCCAAUGACCAGUCCUGAGAAGAGGGCAAAAGAUGCAGGUUGCAGAGAGUGGAGGCAAAGACUAGACAUAAACAUCUGGAUGCUGGGGAGAGUCAGGGACCACCCGGGAAACUAGGAAGAAAGGUGUCGGCCUAGUUCCUGCAUCUAGAACCUGCACUGUUGAGACCUUGACUUUGAAUUUCUGAUUUUGAGGACUGUCAAAUCCUGGUGUUUCAAGCCACCAGCCAGACACAGGUAUGCCAGGGCUCCCCUUGGCCUAUCUACCUGCUAAAUCUCUGUCCCUGUGCUCAGAGAGGGAUCCAACCAAGCAUCCUUAACUGGUGCAUCACCUUUCAGACAAGUUUGUGACACACCGUGGCAGAAGCAGCUCUGUUAAAGCCAUGCCCCACUCUACUCUGUUCGGCUCUUGUCAGGAGACAUUUAGUAAGAUUCUUGUGGUUAAUAUUUCACCGUAGGAAGGUAAGGGAGCUAUCGUUCUCGUUCUUUGAUGUUUCUGACACGUAUUCAUUUCUCUCCUGUGGGAUAAGACGGUGAACACAAAUCCUUGAGGCGAGGAUUUUAACUGUAUUCAUUUCCUGGGCUGAUGUUACGAACCCCACAUACACUCGGUGGUUUCAAACAACGCAUAUCUUAAAAUUAGGGAGGCCUGCAGUCUGAAAUGAGACCUCUGGGACUAGGGGUGAGGCUCAGUGGUAGACUCUGUAUUGCAUGAAGAAGCCCCUGGGUUGUGUUCCUCAGCACAGUGUGGGUGCUGUGUGGGAGCAGGGUCGGGUAGGGGGAGAUGAAGGGUCUCAGGAAGUAGGGCCUUGAAAGCUAAAAUUGCAUUGCCAGUUGAGGACAGGGCUGCUCUCUCAUGGGAGAUGGAGGGAGAACUGUUUGUAGCAUCUAGUGAUGACCAGCAUUUUGUGGCUUGUAGUUACACCACCCAGCCAUCUGUUUUUGUGGCCACUCUGUUUCUCUCUGUAGCCAAAUCUCCCUCUGCCUUUCCUCCUUCAAGGGAACUUAAGAUGGUGUCUGGGGCCUGUGCACAUAAUCCAGGAUCAGUAUAUCUCAAAUCCUUUCACUCAGCUCAGCUUUCCACAUCCCUUUGCUGUGUAAGGUACCACUUACAGGGGUUGGGAUGUUGCUGUCUUGCUUCAUUUUUGCAGGGGUAGCUAGAACCUGUCAAGUUUAGCACCAUAUCUGUGACUGUGUCCACACUAUAAAGUCCACAAGUGGGCAUGGAGGGUGAAUGGUGGGUACCUGGUGUGUAAAGCCUGUUCUUUGAAAUACAUCUUUAUUUUGUGUGUGUGUGUGUGUGUGUGUGUGUGUGUGUGUGUGUGUGUGUGUGUGUGCUGUCCCUUUAAGAACAUUCCCAGCUCUCCUAGGAGUGAGAUUGAUCGAGGGGGCCGCCCCAGAUUGAAAUCCCCAUUACAGGAAUCAUUUAAAGUUCCCCUCUAGGAAGCUCAGGGCUAAUGAGAUAAUUCCUAUUAGGAGAGGAAGGAAAUGAAGGUGGCCGACAUCCUUUCUGUCUCUAAUUUAUGUGAUUCACUGAAACCUCCCCUCCUCCCUCCUGGGCCUCCCUCCUGGGCCUCCCUCCUUCGGUCCCCUCCCUCAGCUGCCCCUUUGAAUUCUGGUUCCCCUGUCCAUCCACCCUCUCCUGCCAGCCAGGGCUCUGCUUGCCAACAAGUCCUAGCAUGCCAGGCAACCUGGGAAGGUUGCUUUCCAGACGAGGCAUCUGGGCUCUGUUCUUGGCAGCCUUGCCAGUCGUGUCUCUGCAACCUCUCCUCCUCCCUUGUGCCUCACCCAACUUGCCCACCACAGUCCUGCCCCACAGGGACCCAAGAAGGGGGGAAAGCUGUCGGGAGAACCCAGAUAAUUCCAAGCAGACAGAAAAGACAGAGCUGUGGCUGUUUUUUUUAUCUCCCUCUUUUCCUCCCUGGACUUUUAAGGGGAGGGGAGGGGGAGCAAACGAGAGGGAGGGGAAGGGAGAGGUUCUGUUUCCUUCUAUUUUUUGUCAGGCCGCGAGCAGGAAAACCCAGUUUGAUCCUUUCAUUGGAGGGUUGUGAUGUCACCCAAGCAUCGUGGGGUUUGACGUUCAGAUUCUGCCCUCGAUGUACAUCUGGAGGCUGGAGAGAUGGAAGAGCCAGGGAAGCCAUAUGGUGGAGUCUUCUGAGUCAGGGCUAAGAGCCAGCGUGGCUUUGGCCCUGGGGACAGUCCAGCAGCCCUGAUGUGCAAUGUGGGUGGCCUGUUCCGUGAACUUCUGCCUGGCCUUGCCUCUGAGAGCCCAGCUGCACAGCCUAGGCCCCAUCAUGAACAAAGAGUGCAGAGGCCCAACUUCUCUUAUCAUCGUGACACAGAUGCCACCAGGCCAUGUGAGACUGCAACCAGACAGAGCAGCAGAGCCUCGUGGGUACCGGUUCCGUUUGGGUUGACCCACUCUAGCUUCGAAGGCUGCAGUUUUCUAGUGGGGGACGGGGCACUGGAGACAGAAGCUAGGCUCAAGGGAAUCAUGCAAGAGAGUUAGGGGCUGGAGUGUCUACUUAGUAUGCAGAAGCCCUCAGUUUGGUCCCCAGCAUGCGGAAAGGAAAAAAAACAAGAAUAAAAACAAGAACAAAACCCAAACAAACGAAAACCUGUACAUUUCAACAGUCAGUAAAGUCCAAGUUCAGUGUUGAUGUUAAGCCUUAGCCAGUUUAGAUUGAUGUUUCUUAUCAGUAGCUGAGUCCCUGUUUACAGCGAAGUAAACCUGCUCAGGAAGCCUAGUUUUAUCAGCUCCCGGUUCUCCCUGUUUUGGGAAUGACCAAGGGUACAUGGAAGGAGGACAGCGAAGAAUGGUCUGAAUGCUAACACACACACACACACACACACACACACACACACACACACACACACAGAGAGAGAGAGAGAGAGAGAGAGAGAGAGAGAGAGAGAGCAAUCAGUGGACUGUGGCAAAAGGGCUCCAUGUCCUUCCUUGGAGAGGAUCUGAGUUCAUUUUGAAAUAGAAUAUCCCUGAACAGAACAGCAAUGGCUUGUGCUGUAAGAUCGAGAAUUGACAAAUGGGACCUAAUGAAACUCCAAAGAACUUUCUCAUGCUCUAGCCCCACUUCCUCCCCACCCCUUGCCUCACCCCCUCCCCUUGUCUAGUUCUGCCCUUUGAGGGUGAUAGUCUGGGGCCCUGUGUGUUUUGCUUCGGAUUUUGUUUUGUAAAUUCCUCAUGGCAGUCCCUCUGCACCGUUGCUGUCAGUUGCACGUCGUUGCCGAGCAACCGGAAGGAAGCCCUGUCACUGCCAAUUAAUUUGCCAGCUGCGUGGCCUGUCUCCCAGGGGAAAAGGCUUGUGAGGCUCUAGGAAACAGCCCCAAGGCUCAGGCCGAGGAGACUGACCUGCUUAUCCAUGCUACUUAUCAGGAACUGUGGAACCAUGGAGAACAUGACCCUGGCCCUCCCUUCAGGAUCUGCCUGAGAUCUGGCUGCCUCUUGAGACACUAGAGCCCUGGAUUCAAUUGCGGAACAUUAUGUUGGAGAAUAUAAACACUUCUAGACUGUGCCGGCAUUUGGGAAGGAAUAGUCUGUUUUGACUUGAAUGAACAAAGACAUACGUCUCUGGGCCUGGGGAAGGCUUACCAGCUCAGCUCAUCUACUGUCUGGUGGCAAACAUGUCCUGGGUACUGCCACUACCCAGGACACUCUUCCUCACUCUGUCCCUGUCCAGUUACCGCACCCUUCCCUGUCUGACCCCGCCUCCUGUGCCCACUCGCCUCUGGACCCAGAGAUUCUUCUUGUUUGCUCUAUCAUCCUUGAGCCGGAUACAGGGUGAAUAGUUAACCACACUUGGGUUGAAUGGGAUCUUGAUUCUUAUUUCUGUUCCUUGGAAAGAGGGGUCAGACUCGGUGCGUGGCACCCGGCCUGGAAGCAGCACAAGACUCCAGAGUGAUACAUGAUCUGCCUGGAUGGUCCCAGGGGCUCUUUGGAGGUCAGAGCAAGAGGAGCAGCCUGAGCAGGGGGGCUGAGGAGGGCCGGCACUGGAUCACACGCAGGCGUAUGUCUGGAUAGGCAGAGAGGAACCCACUUUUCAUUCCCUCUUCUGUGACACAAAUGCAAGGAACUUUGAAGACACUCUUCGGAGGUUGCAAUCGGAGAUCAGCUUAUCCAAGGGCUUCAUGUCUGAGCUCUGUUGGUCGUGCCUCCUGAGGACCUCUUUCCUCUACUGUAUGCUGAUGACACACCCAUCCGAUGGGAGCUGGAGCCUUGUCUGGUCCUUUCCUCUAUGACCCCACGUGUACAGUUGGAAAUCCUUCCUAAUCAUGCCUUGAUUCCCCCUUUUCGACUACACUCAAAGAUGUUUGAGCUGUUUUAUUUGCAAAAUGGAUGGACAGUUUGUUUAUAUAAAACAAUCCCAGCUUCCUUGUGCUCUAUCUGGUGUGUUUGUAUGGCUCUUCAGUGACUUUAAAGUGGAGCAUUGACCUUGGCCUCUUUGAUUCUCCAUGGUGGAAUAGAGAAGACCUCUUGAGGAUGCUUAAUGUUGCUGAGAUCUUAAGAAGGCUUGCAGACUUCCUCUUCCUCCCUCCUUCUCCCACCUCCUCCUUCCCUAAGCAGCCUCUGCAUUGUAUAAAUUCCUUUAUAUAAAUUCCUCU
rnacentral:lncRNA from 1 species